GGAGGGAUGGCUGAGUGGCUGAAGGCGCACGCCUGGAAAGUGUGUUUAGGUUAAUCCCUAACGAGGGUUCGAAUCCCUCUUCCUCCGCCA
rnacentral:tRNA from 5 species